UUCCGUAGGGUGAACCUGCGGAAGGAUCAUUACAGAAAUAGGAGAAGGUUGCUUAACUGCAAUCCUUUUCUUUCUACACAUGUGUUUUUCUUUUUUUUGAAAACUUUGCUUUGGUGGGCCCACGGCCUGCCAGAGAUUAAACUCAACCAAAUUUUUAUUUAAUUGUCAACUUGAUUAACUAAUAGUCAAAACUUUCAACAACGGAUCUCUUGGUUCUCGCAUCGAUGAAGAACGCAGCGAAAUGCGAUAAGUAAUAUGAAUUGCAGAUAUUCGUGAAUCAUCGAAUCUUUGAACGCACAUUGCGCCCUUUGGUAUUCCAAAGGGCAUGCCUGUUUGAGCGUCAUUUCUCCCUCAAACCUUCGGGUUUGGUGUUGAGCGAUACGCUGGGUUUGCUUGAAAGAAAGGCGGAGUAUAAACUAAUGGAUAGGUUUUUUUUUUCCACUCAUUGGUACAAACUCCAAACAUUCUUCCAAAUUCGACCUCAAAUCAGGUAGGACUACCCGCUGAACUUAAGCAUAUCAAUAAGCGGAGGAAG
rnacentral:rRNA from 1 species